rnacentral:rRNA from 1 species
UACGAAGGGGGCUAGCGUUGCUCGGAAUCACUGGGCGUAAAGGGUGCGUAGGCGGGUCUUUAAGUCAGGGGUGAAAUCCUGGAGCUCAACUCCAGAACUGCCUUUGAUACUGAAGAUCUUGAGUUCGGGAGAGGUGAGUGGAACUGCGAGUGUAGAGGUGAAAUUCGUAGAUAUUCGGAAGAACACCAGUGGCGAAGGCGGCUCACUGGUCCGGUACUGACGCUGAGGUGCGAAAGCGUGGGGAGCGAACAGG